rnacentral:rRNA from 1 species
UACGGAGGAUGCGAGCGUUAUCCGGAUUUAUUGGGUUUAAAGGGUGCGCAGGCGGAGGCACAAGUCAGCGGUAAAAUCGCGGGGCUCAACCCCGCUCCGCCGUUGAAACUGUGUCCCUUGAGUGCGCAAAGGGUAGGCGGAAUGCGUGGUGUAGCGGUGAAAUGCAUAGAUAUCACGCAGAACUCCGAUCGCGAAGGCAGCCUACCGGCGCGCGACUGACGCUCAUGCACGAAAGCGUGGGUAUCGAACAGG